GGUGUGUCGUCCAGUUACUGGGGAGGGAUAGAGCUAUUCACUUCACAGCGCCUUGUUCCAGAGUUCCUGUCUUCACAGAUCCAUCAGGACUAGCGCCCCACUACAACUUUGUCAUGUUAAUGACGUGAUUUUUGCUUUCUAAAACCAUACUUUACAUGGACAACUAGGUUACCCAAUAUUAUUGGUAUUUCUACAUAUUUAGUAGGUAUAUAAGUCUUUG